GACGAACGCUGGCGGCGUGCCUAAUACAUGCAAGUCGAGCGAAGUUUUUCUGGUGCUUGCACUAGAAAAACUAGCGGCGAACGGGUGAGUAACACGUAAAGAACCUGCCUCAUAGACUGGGACAACUAUUGGAAACGAUAGCUAAUACCGGAUAACAGUAUUUCUCGCAUGAGAGAUAUUUAAAAGUUGGUUAUGCUAACACUAUGAGAUGGCUGUGCGGUGCAUUAGCUAGUUGGUGGGGUAAAGGCCUACCAAGGCGACGAUGCAUAGCCGACCUGAGAGGGUGAUCGGCCACACUGGGACUGAGACACGGCCCAGACUCCUACGGGAGGCAGCAGUAGGGAAUCUUCCGCAAUGGGCGAAAGCCUGACGGAGCAACGCCGCGUGAGUGAAGAAGGAUUUCGGUUCGUAAAGCUCUGUUGUUAGGGAAGAAUGGAUAUGUAGUAACUAUACAUAUAAGAGACGGUACCUAACCAGAAAGCCACGGCUAACUACGUGCCAGCAGCCGCGGUAAUACGUAGGUGGCAAGCGUUGUCCGGAAUUAUUGGGCGUAAAGCGCGCGCAGGUGGUUUAAUAAGUCUGAUGUGAAAGCCCACGGCUCAACCGUGGAGGGUCAUUGGAAACUGUUAAACUUGAGUGCAGGAGAGAAAAGUGGAAUUCCUAGUGUAGCGGUGAAAUGCGUAGAGAUUAGGAGGAACACCAGUGGCGAAGGCGGCUUUUUGGCCUGUAACUGACACUGAGGCGCGAAAGCGUGGGGAGCAAACAGG
rnacentral:rRNA from 1 species